rnacentral:rRNA from 1 species
AGUGAACGCUGGCGGUAGGCCUAACACAUGCAAGUCGAACGGCAGCACAGUAAGAGCUUGCUCUUACGGGUGGCGAGUGGCGGACGGGUGAGGAAUACAUCGGAAUCUACUUUUUCGUGGGGGAUAACGUAGGGAAACUUACGCUAAUACCGCAUACGACCUACGGGUGAAAGCAGGGGAUCUUCGGACCUUGCGCGAUUGAAUGAGCCGAUGUCGGAUUAGCUAGUUGGCGGGGUAAAGGCCCACCACGGCGACGAUCCGUAGCUGGUCUGAGAGGAUGAGCAGCCACACUGGAACUGGGACACGGUCCAGACUCCUACGGGAGGCAGCAGUGGGGAAUAUUGGACAAUGGGCGCAAGCCUGAUCCAGCCAUACCGCGUGGGUGAAGAAGGCCCUCGGGUUGUAAAGCCCUUUUGUUGGGAAAGAAAAGCAGCAGGUUAAUACCCCGCUGUUCUGACGGUACCCAAAGAAUAAGCACCGGCUAACUUCGUG